GGUUGUGGCUCAGCGGUAAAGCACUUGCCUAGCAUGGGUGAGACCCUGGGUGCGAUCCUCAGCACCA
rnacentral:tRNA from 1 species